CUGGCACAGGUCAGAGUAUUUUGGCGGUUGCCAUCUUCAAACGGUCGUAUUUUAAAAACUAUACAUCCUACAGCGAAGAGCUUUAUAUUGUGAGAAUCACAAGACCCAGACCUACAUUUAGAUGCAUUGUAUGUCUCUGAAGUAUUAAAAAUGAAGGCACAGUCGCAGUUUAGAAAUUGCCCUUCAAGUUUGAGCUGGCUAGAGUGGAGUUUCCAUGAAUGUCAAUGGACGGCAUGAGUUGCAAACAAAUGGUCAUAUUGUGGAAACUAUCAGGACUAUGGCUUAGCCGUGGACAUGUUUAGUGGCAGCAGGGAUAGCUGAACGUUUUGAUAUAAGAUUUGUGUAGGUGGGCUUGAAAAUGAGGGAGUGGUGGCAGUUUAGAAAUCAUGUCCUGAUUUUUCAGCUUUUGCCAGCUCCCACUCUAGUUUUUAACAUUUUGCCAUUCAUUCCUAUGGGACCAAUUUCACCACAACAACGACGAUAGUCCGUGAACCAUUCGGCGAAACGUUCCACAAAGUAAUAACAAUCCAAUCAGGAACAAUCCGCACGU
rnacentral:lncRNA from 1 species